UUCCCUAGGGGGAAGAGGGGAAGAUAAUUCAUAUGGAGCAUCACACCAGCUAUCUCCUGCUCCCUGUCCUGCACUGCAAAGGAGGCCUUUUCAUCCUCUCUACUGCCUCCAAUUUUUCUCACGAGGAAUGUGAGAGGAAAACCUCACAUAUCCUUCCUGCCAUCACGUGAAGAAGGACACGUUUCGUUCCCCUCCUUCCAUGAUUGUGAGGUGUCAGAUCCCCGGCGAUGGAAAGCAGUCAACUCAUGGGUAGUAAAAAGAAUGUAUUGACAACACUAUAGGUUUGAAAAGGAAAGUUUUAUUAGAUGGAAAGAACAGUGCAGAAGACCGCAGCAGAGGACCUCAGCAAGAGAGAACUAAAAAUGGUCAAUUACAAAGCACAACAUAAGACUGGAACAUUGGAGUUAAGUAGCAGAGAUCAAAAGAGGAGAUUGCAGAUGGAGGUGUUGUAUGUGACUGUUUUACAUGGAUUCUUCGCUCUGGUAGCAGAUGUUGAAGAAGCUCUAUGAAUGUCCUGUCUCUAUGUCCCAGUUUGUCAGUUUCAAAUACUCAUGUAUCUGAUUGUCAAUGCUGGAGAGCUGGGGCCAGGGCAGUAGUUGAUGAAUAUCACCUGACUGUCUCCUGCAGAAAAAGCAUUCCCAGAAGCACGGAGAAGUGAGGAGAAAAGGCAAUGCACCUGGAGCUGGAGACCAAGGCCCUGUUCUUACUGAUGGCCCUUGGAGCAGAUAUUUGAAUUGGAGAGAUAAAACCGUGGUUUUUGGGGUGUUAAUUUUGGUGGCUGAUGCAUUCUGUGAUUGAUUUGGCUAUUACAACUGGUAUUGAUUUUAAACACAUUAAUUGCAAAAUCUCAAUUGUGAUUUGAUUUCUGUAUUUACAAUACUAAAAACGAGGCUUUCGCCAGGAGAAGACAAUUGGCAGUACUCAGUUGGAAGUGCUUAAUUGUUAAUAUAUAUCAGCCGUGGUUCUUCAGCGUCGUCAGUGUUGCUCAGUCUUGCUCUUUGUGGCGACUACUGAAUGCUUGAAAAAUUCUCUCCUAUACUCCCACUCUGCACUGUAGAAGAGAAAGAGAGGAGAGUGGAAGAAAAAAGAGAGGGAGAGGAGAAAGAAAGAGAGGAGAGAGAAACAUGGGCAUGGAUGAUACAUAAGGUAGUUGUAAACUGUGAUCAGCUUUGAUAAUAACUAGAUAAAUUCUUUUAAUACAAAAAUAUAUAAGGCAUUUUGCCUUUUUUUCAAAUUUCAAAUAAAUGGAUUUGUAUAGAAUGUAGUCUGUUGCCCAGAGUUUUCAUUUAGCAUAAUGCAUUUGAGAUUUAUCCAUGUUGUUGUAUAUUCUUUUUAUUGCUGAGUAGUAUUCCAUUGUGUGGAUAUACCAGUUUGUUUAUCCAUUAACCUUUGAUGGAUAUUUGGGUUUUUUUCAAUAUGAGGCUCUUAUAAAUAAACCUUCUGUAAUCAGGUCUUUGUGUAGUCACACAGUUUGUUUGUUUGUUUGUUUUUUAAAAAGAUGUUAGUAUUGUAAUUGUGUUUAAUAAGAAACUGUUCAGUAUUUCUGCAUGUCUACCAAAAAUACAUGAAAUGUUAG
rnacentral:lncRNA from 1 species